AACGUUAACUGGUCCCUAUGUGACCUGCAGGUAACGUUAACUGGUCCCUAUGUGACCUGCAGGUAACGUUAACUGGUCCC